CCUACGGGAGGCAGCAGUGGGGAAUAUUGGGCAAUGGGCGCAAGCCUGACCCAGCAACGCCGCGUGAAGGAAGAAGGCUUUCGGGUUGUAAACUUCUUUUGUCAGGGAUGAAGCAAGUGACGGUACCUGACGACUAAGCCACGGCUAACUACGUGCCAGCAUCCGCGGUAAUCCGUAGGUGGCAAGCGUUAUCCGGAUUUACGGGGUGUAAAGGGCGUGUAGGCGGGACUGCAAGUCAGAGGUGAAAACCACGGGCUCAACGUGUGGCCUGCAUUUGAAACUGGCAAACUGGAGUGUGUGGGAGGAUAGUGGAAUGCCAGGUGUAGGGGUGAAAUGCAUAGAUAUC
rnacentral:rRNA from 1 species